UUGAGCAUCAAACACUUUAAUUGAAGAGUUUGAUCAUGGCUCAGAUUGAACGCUGGCGGCAGGCCUAACACAUGCAAGUCGGACGGUAACAGGAAACAGCUUGCUGUUUUGCUGACGAGUGGCGGACGGGUGAGUAAUGUCUGGGGAUCUGCCCGAUGGAGGGGGAUAACCACUGGAAACGGUGGCUAAUACCGCAUGACCUCUUGGGAGUAAAGUGGGGGACCUUCGGGCCUCACGCCAUCGGAUGAACCC
rnacentral:rRNA from 1 species